UACAGAGGGUGCAAGCGUUGUUCGGAAUUAUUGGGCGUAAAGCGCGUGUAGGCGGCUUUGCAAGUCGGGUGUGAAAUCCCUCGGCUCAACCGAGGAAGUGCGCCCGAAACUGCAGAGCUUGAGUACCGGAGAGGAUGGCGGAAUUCCCGAAGUAGAGGUGAAAUUCGUAGAUAUCGGGAGGAACACCGGUGGCGAAGGCGGCCAUCUGGACGGAUACUGACGCUGAUGAGCGAAAGCCAGGGGAGCAAACGGG
rnacentral:rRNA from 1 species